AUUAUAAACUUGUGUUUGUUUACCAAGUCACACUUAGACAUAAAAAAAAAGGUUCAUGGAGGUAAUCAUUGUGUGAAAUAUAUUUGUACACACCUUUAUGUAAUUUAGCGGUAUGAAAUACUGCUUACAUACAUCACCAUAUAUAAGAAAGUAAGGGUUGCCUAUAAUUCAAGACAUCUAGUUUUCAAUCUGCUUAUUAUUGUACUCUGAAGCUGGCACAGGAAUGUUGUGUGUUCCUACUAUAAUUUAAUCCCAAACCCUAUCAGGUCAUUUCAAUUCUCAAAUGGAUUUUUUUUUUCUGGUAAU